rnacentral:rRNA from 1 species
CCUACGGGGGGCAGCAGUAGGGAAUAUUGCUCAAUGGGGGAAACCCUGAAGCAGCAACGCCGCGUGGAGGAUGAAGGUUUUCGGAUUGUAAACUCCUUUUGUUAGAGAAGAUAAUGACGGUAUCUAACGAAUAAGCACCGGCUAACUCCGUGCCAGCAGCCGCGGUAAUACGGAGGGUGCAAGCGUUACUCGGAAUCACUGGGCGUAAAGGGCGCGUAGGCGGGAGAGCAAGUCAGAUGUGAAAUCCUAUGGCUUAACCAUAGAACUGCAUUUGAAACUGUUAUUCUAGAGUAUGGGAGAGGUAGGUGGAAUUCUUUGUGUAGGGGUAAAAUCCGUAGAGAUCAAGAGGAAUACUCAUUGCGAAGGCGACCUGCUAGAACAUAACUGACGCUGAUGCGCGAAAGCGUGGGGAGCAAACAGGAUUAGAUACCCCUGUAGUC